GAGUGCGCUCGCGUAGGUGGUGCGCAGAGCGGUUUCGAAGGCGGCUUGCGACGGUUCCAUGGCGUCGAUCUCGUUCCAGGCCGGCGCGGUCA
rnacentral:tRNA from 1 species